rnacentral:rRNA from 1 species
CCUACGGGAGGCAGCAGUGGGGAAUUUUGGACAAUGGGCGCAAGCCUGAUCCAGCAACGCCGCGUGGAGGACGAAGGUCUUCGGAUCGUAAACUCCUGUCAGACGGGACGAAGGGUUCAGGGUAAAUAAUCCUGGAUCUUGACGGUACCGUCAGAGGAAGCCCCGGCUAACUCCGUGCCAGCAGCCGCGGUAAU